UGGGGAAUAUUGGACAAUGGGGGCAACCCUGAUCCAGCAAUGCCGCGUGUGUGAAGACGGCCUUCGGGUUGUAAAGCACUUUAGUUGGGGAAGAAGGGUAGCAUUUUAAGAGAUAGCUAUUUUGACGGUACCCAAAGAAUAAGCACCGGCUAACUCUGUGCCAGCAGCCGCGGUAAUACAGAGGGUGCAAGCGUUAAUCGGAAUUACUGGGCGUAAAGGGCGCGUAGGCGGUGUAUUAAGUUAGAUGUGAAAUCCCUGGGCUUAACCUAGGAACUGCAUCUGAUACUGGUACGCUAGAGUGCAGUAGAGGGUAGUGGAAUUUCCGGUGUAGCGGUGAAAUGCGUAGAUAUCGGAAGGAACACCAGUGGCGAAGGCGGCUACCUGGACUGACACUGACGCUGAGGCGCGAGAGCGUGGGGAGCAAACAG
rnacentral:rRNA from 1 species